AACGCAAUCAAGCACUUUGUGUCUUCUUUUUAUUCCUAUAACACAGGACACACCACAUAGAACACUGGGACCAGGCUACUCAGUGUGAGGCCUGUAACAGAAUUCUGGAGGCACCGCUGGGAUCGGCAUCCGACAAAAGAAGAUGCUGAUCUCCUAAUCUACGAAUCCAAGGCAGACGUGACGGCAGAAGCAAGUUGAAGCAGCGUGCGACUGAGGCAGCAACAGGACCAACGCGUGUGAGAGGGACCUUCGCUGGAGGAGUGCAGCACCGCUUGCCCGAGACAACAAAGCUACAGUCUGUCGUUGAGUAACAAAAUCAACAUGGGAGAACGUGUACGUAAAGAGCUGACGUGGGAGGGUUUCGAACCCAAGAUUAUCCCGCAGCAAGAUCACACUCUCUGUCUGGCAGCAUGCCAGGACACCCCCCGCACGCGCCGAGUGCAUCACGCCCAGGCUUUGCCGCAGCUGUAGGCGGUCAGUCAUCAGUGCACCUGGCAGUAAUCAGGAGGACAACAUAAAAACCAGUCACUCUUUGGGACCUACGCCGGAACGUCGUUAACUCCUGUAAGCGCUGUACCUCGACCUCCAUCCGGAAAUUGGACUGCCUCCCUCGAUCCUCGAUCACUCGUUUGGACUUGGACAUUGUUGCUUGCCGCCUGCCCUCAACCUCCUGCCUGUUCCCUCGUGCCUACCCUCUUGGUCAGAUGAAGUUUUCAUCCAUCACGCAUGUACAACAUCCUCUUGAAUUAUUUACAUGGUUAAUUUUACACUUAAUCCUGCAACCAACACUUAGAGUAGCAUACA